rnacentral:rRNA from 1 species
GUCUGUUUGCAUUUAUAAAGAGUUUGACCUGCUCACUGAUAAAAUUUUAAGAGCCGCGGUAUUUGGACCGUGCAAANGUAGCAUAAUCGUUAGUNCCUUAAUUAGGAUCUUGUAUGAAUGGUUGGACAAAGAAAAAACUGUCUCUAUAGUUUGUUAUUGAAUUUAACUUUUAAGUGAAAAGGCUUAAAUUAAUUAAAGGGACGAUAAGACCCUAUAAAGCUUAAUAUAAAAUUAUUACUUAGUUGAAUUAUAAAAUUGUAUAAUAACUUGGUGGUUAUGGUUUAUUUUAUUGGGGUGAUAAAAGUAAAAUUGUUAUUAACUACUUAAUUUUUUAAACAAAAAUAAAUGAAUAAAAUUAUAAAAUGAUCUUGAAUACAAAUUAAAAGUUUAAGUUACUUUAGGGAUAACAGCGUUAUUUUUUUUUAGAGUUCAUAUCGAAAAAAAAGUUUGCGACCUCGAUGUUGAAUUAAAAUUUCUAUAUAAUUGCAGCAGUUAUAUUAGAAGGUCUGUUCGACCUUUAAAUUUUUACAUGAUUUGAGUUCAGACCGGCGUAUGCCAGGUCGGUUUCUAUCUUUUAAAAAAAAAUAAUUGUUUUAKUACGACCGGAUUAAAUAAUUACCAUUAUUUUAUUGUUGGUUGAG